rfam:Oscillibacter sp. KLE 1745 genomic scaffold Scaffold298, whole genome shotgun sequence.
GGAGGACGUAAGGGACAAGGGCUGGUACACGUCGCCGCCCUCCUUGCGGCCUCC